rnacentral:lncRNA from 1 species
AAAAAAAAAAAAAAAAUUAUUGUUUUUUUAGAGACAGGGUGUCACUGUGUUGCCCAAGCUGGUGUCGAACUCCUGGCUCGAGUGAUCCUCUUGCCUCAGCCUCCCUCAUGCUGAUUAGAGGCACGAGCCACCACACCAAGCCUAGUUCUUACUUUGGCAAUAACGUAUGGAAAAGAGGGGGCACCUAGGAGCCUGCAGCACUUCUGUGACAACCUGUGUGUCCCUCUGUGAAAUUGCUUAUUUGAUUCUUCCUUGAACUGUUCCCAUGGGAAACUCACUUGUAAGACUCUAAGUGCGGGGCGGAGCGUCAUCUCCGAGUCUCCCACACGUACCACAUGUGGGGCAUAAACGUGUGUGCUGAGAGGCUUGAGCUAUGACCCCCACAAGUGCACAUCAAGCUCUGCGGCCCCCAGGCAGAUGCUGUGCUGCAGUCAGAGGGCAGAGAAGCUGGGAAGGAGAUGGCCAGUGUGUGGAAGGCAGCAUGACAGCAACCGCCCAAGAUGUCCCCAUCCUAAUCCCAGGUCCCAGGAGUAUGUUCCCUUCCGUGGCAAUAGGGACUUUGCACACGUAAGUGAAGCGUCUGGAGAUGUGAGGGUUAUUCUGGAUGAUCAGAGUCACCCAGUGUCAUCACAGAGUCUUUGUAAGGCAAAGACAGACACAGACUCAGAGAAGGAGAGGUGACGACGGAAGCAGAGGCAGGAACUCUGGCGGGAAGAAUGCAGGCGGCCUCUAGAACUGGGAAAGACAGGAGUGGAUUUCCCCAGAGCCUGCAGAGGGAACUCAGUCCUGCCGAUGCCUUGAUUUAGCCCUGUGGGACCCACACUGGAUGCCUGACUCGGGUUGAGUAACUCGUGAACAGCAUUUCUCAAGUGGCUGCCAUGGUUUGGUUUUGUUUUUUCUAUUUUUUUUUUUUUUUUUUGGUAGAGAUGGGGUCUUGCUAUGUUGCCCAGGCUGGUCUUGAAUGGUCAGAGAAUAUAUCUGUAUUGCUUUAAGCCACAGGGUUUGUGGUCAUUUGUUACAGCAGCAAUAGGAAACUCAUCCACAGUGACAAAUGGGAACUCAGAGCUACCAGGGAGGUGUCAUUUUGAGAAUUACUAAAAAGAAGAUUGUUCUGUGGCCGCCACACACCUGGGGAGGGGGGUCCUGCUCAGAAUAGGCACCAUUUCAGCAGGCAGGAACCAACUAGGGAAGGGGAAGUCCAAGUGAGAGAGUGCUUUUCACUAGGAAGAGGACCUGGAGACACAGACCUGCGGCAGCACACACAUGGCCUCUGAACAGAACACUUUUCUAGCCCACACUUCAGAGUACUUUGCCAGGCGCAGUGGCUCAUGCUUGUAUUCCCAGCACUUUGGUAGCUGAGGCAGGUGGAUCACCUGAGGUCAGGAGUUCGAGACCAGCCUGGCCAACAUGGUAAAACCCCGUCUCUACUAAAAAUACAAGGAUUCUCCCUCUCCCUCUCCCUCUCCCUCUCCCCCCGGUCUCCCUCUCCCUCUCUUUCCACGGUCUCCCUCUGAUGCCGAGCCGAAGCUGGACUGUACUGCCGCCAUCUCUGCUCACUGCAACCUCCCUGCCUGAUUCUCCUGCCUCAGCCUGCCGAGUGCCUGCGAUUGCAGGCGCGCGCCGCCACGCCUGACUGGUUUUCGUAUUUUUUUGGUGGAGACGGGGUUUCGCUGUGUUGGCCAGGCUGGUCUCCAGCUCCUAACCAGGAGUGAUCUGCCAGCCUUGGCCUCCCGAGGUGCCGGGAUUGCAGACGGAGUCUCGUUCACUCAGUGCUCAAUGUUGCCCAGGCUGGAGUGCAGUGGCUUGAUCUCAGCUCGCUACAACCUCCACCUCCCAGCCGCCUGCCUUGGCCUCCCAAAGUGCCGAGAUUGCAGUCUCUGCCCGGCCGCCACCCCGUCUGGGAAAUGAGGAGCGUCUCUGCCUGGCCGCCCAUCGUCUGGGAUGUGAGGAGCCCCUCUGCCCGGCUGCCCAGUCUGGGAAGUGAGGAGCGCCUCUUCCCGGCCGCCAUCCCAUCUAGGAAGUGAGGAGCGUCUCUGCCCGGCCGCCCAUCGUCUGAGAUGUGGGGAGCGCCUCUGCCCCACUGCCCCGUCUGGGAUGUGAGGAGCGCCUCUGCCCGGCCGCGACCCCGUCUGGGAACUGAGGAGUGUCUCUGCCCGACCGCCACCCCGUCUGGGAGGUGAGGAGUGUCUCUGCCUGCCCGCCCCGAGAAGUGAGGAGCCCCUCCGCCCGGCAGCCACCCCAUCUGAGAAGUGAGGAGCCCCUCUGCCUGGCAGCCACCCCGUCUGAGAAGUGAGGAGCCCCUCCGCCCAGCAGACACCCCGUCUGGGAAGUGAGGAGCGUCUCCGCCCGGCAGCCACCCCGUCCGGCAGCCACCCCGUCCGGGAGGGAGGUUGGGGGCAGCCCCCGCCCGGCCAGCCGCCCCGUCCGGGAGGGAGGUGGGGGUCAGCCCCCGCCCGGCCAGCCGCCCCGUCCGGGAGGUGAGGGGCGCCUCUGCCCGGCCGCCCGUACUGGGAAGUGAGGAGCCCCUCUGCCCGGCCACCACCCCGUCUGGGAGGUGUACCCAACAGCUCAUUGAGAACAGGCCAUGAUGACGAUGGCAGUUUUGUGGAAUAGAAAAGGGGGAAAGGUGGGGAAAAGAUUGAGAAAUCGGAUGGUUGCUGUGUCUGUGUAGAAAGAAGUAGACAUGGGAGACUUCAUUUCGUUCUGUACUAAGAAAAAUUCUUCUGCCUUGGGAUGCUGUUGAUCUAUGACCUUACCCCCAACCCUGUGCUCUCUGAAACAUGUGCUGUAUCCACUCAGGGUUAAAUGGAUUAAGGGCGGUGCAAGAUGUGCUUUGUUAAACAGAUGCUUGAAGGCAGCAUGCUCCUUAAGAGUCAUCACCACUCCCUAAUCUCAAGUACCCAGGGACACAAACACUGCGGAAGGCCGCAGGGUCCUCUGCCUAGGAAAACCAGAGACCUUUGUUCACUUGUUUAUCUGCUGACCUUCCCUCCACUAUUGUCCUAUGACCCUGCCAAAUCCCCCUCUGCGAGAAACACCCAAGAAUGAUCAAUAAAAAAAAUAAAAUAAAAUAAAAUAAAUACAAGAAUUAGCCAGGCGUGAUGGUGGGCGCCUAUAAUCCCAGCUACUUGGGAGGCUGAGACAGGAGAAUCAUUUGUACCCAGGAGGUGGAGGUUGCAGUGAGCCAAGAUCGUGCCACUAUACUCCAGCCUGGGCAACAGAGUGAGACUCCGCCUCAAAAAAAAAAAAAAAAACUAUUUUAUUAAGGAACACCUCUGCUGCUGGACAAUACUCUACCAAGUGCUAGAAAUACGCAGGUCUCCAGCUACUCAGGAGGAGGUUGAGGCAGGAGAAUCACUUGAGCCCAGGCGUUCAAAUCCAGCCUGGCCAACAUGAUGAUACCCCUGUUUCUAAAAGAAAAUUUUUUAAUUAAAAAAAUUUUAAAAAGAGGGUGUGGUAGCUCAGGCCUGUAAUCCCAGCACUUUGGGAGACGGAGGUAGGAGGAUCAUCUGAGUCCAGGCGUUUGAGACCAGCUUCAUCAACAUGGCGAGACCCCCAUCUCCACAAAAAGUUAUAAAAAUAAAAAUAAAUGAGCCAGGCAUGGCGGUGCACACCUGUGGUCCCAGCUACUGCAGGAGGUGAGGCAUGAGGAUCACUUGAGCCCUGAGCCCGGGAGGUCAAGGCUGCAGUGAGCUGUGUUUGUGUCACUGCACUCCAGCCUGGGCGACAGUGAGGCCCUGUCUCAAAAAAACAAAAACAAAAAUAAAUAUGCAGUUGUCCAAGACUCACGGUCAGGCCUAGGCAUGAACCUCACCAAAAGCCUUUUUCUCUAGCUUACCAGCAAAACAGAAUAAGGCUAAACUAGCUCAAGCCGCCUCACCCUCCAAGCACCUUCAGAUCUCCCUGGACAGAGACACACCCUCCUUUUCACCCCGGAACUUGUUGGUAUAAAACCCUGGAAUAAAUGGCACAUGAGCCAAUCGCUCCAUAACUCCAUCUCAUCCCCAGAAACACAGUGGGAACCCAAAUUCCCAGAAAGAGAGUAAAAGGAUGAAACUCUCCUAGGUGCGUUCAGUUCCUCAUACUCACCUAAAAUGCUUGGUCACACGUCCCGACAGGUAGCAGAAUGAGGGUGACCCCAUAUUCCUCUUACAGAUGAGGGAAUUCACACAGAAAGGGUAUGUGGUGUCAGUGGCCAGGUCUAGGCCACCAGGAGGCAAGACAGAACCCCAGCCUCCUCCUCCCUACACAGCGCCGCCUCCCUCUGACUAAUGCGACACUUCUCAAUGAGCUAGAAUCAAAAGUUGUAGGAAUUCACAAUUCCCACACCCAAAGGACCUCACUAGCAUAUACCAUCGCCCUCAAUUUUCCCCCAGCUCCUGUCUUCCCUCCUUUCUCACCAUCAGCAUUUUCUUUUACAGCAUCUACCAGCUGGGCGCGGUGGCUCAUGCCUGUAAUCCCAGAACUUUGGGAGGCCCAGGCGGGCGGAUAACAAAGUCAAGAGUUCGAGACCAGCCUGGCCAACAUGGUGAAACCCCGUCUCUACUAAAAAGACAAAAAUUAGCCGGGUGUGGUGGUGCGCACCUGUAGUUCCAGCUACUUGGGAGGCUGAGGCAGGAAAAUUGCUUGAACCCAGGAGGCAAAGGCUACAGUGAGCCGAGAUCGCACCACUGUACUCCAGCCUGGGGACAGAGCGAGACUCCAUCACACACACACAAAAAUAAUUUAAAAAAUAAAGCAUCUACCUGUGGCUGUGAAAGACAUGGCAGUUCCACUCACUCCCACUCUGGUGUUGAGACAGCAAAUUUCAAAAGAGAGGAGCACCGCUCUGGGGCAGCACCUAAGAGCACAGCCUUCUCCAUCCCAUCCCAGAGCCUGGACACAGUCACCUCACCCCAUUUUAUCAGUGGUGACAGGGGCUGUUUCCCAGGCCUUCUCACUCUGAAAUUUAUCUCUAGAUUUCAGGCAACAAACUGUGGCCAGCUACAGGAACAUUCUAGAAAAAAAGUGGGGACAAAAGCAAUAACCAUGGUAAUGUGCACUCGUUAAAGGGCCUCCUGAAAAAGAGACAGGGAGACCAGCACCGAGGGAAGGAAAAAGGGGUGGCAGGAGAGGGAAGAGACGAGACAGUCAAAAAGGAGAAACCCAAAAUAUAAUUAAGCAGUGGCUCACACCUGUAAUCCCAGCAGUUUGGGAGGCUGAGGCAGCCAGGUCACCUGAGGUCAGGAGUUCAAGACCAGCCUGGCCAACAUGGUGAAACCCCAUCUCUACUAAAAAUACAAAAAUUAGCCAGGCAUGGUGGCGGGCACCUGUAGUACCAGCUACCUGGGAGGCUGAGGCAGGAUAAUCACUUGAACCUGGGAGACAGAGGCUGCAGUGAGCCAAGAUCGCACCACUGCACUCCAGCCUGGGGGACAGAGUGAGACUCCAUCUCAAAAAAAAAAAAAAAAAGAAAAAAGAAAAAGAGAAGCAGUCAAGGGAAAAAAAUGGGUUCGGGUUUGUCCAUCGUUUCUGACCUAUGUAAAUUGAUGGUAAUUAACUAACAGCAGCCAGGCGCCCGUCCCAGCCCCAAUAUUUUAGUAUUUUCUACAGAGAGGCCUGACCUUCAGAGCUAUCUCAAGGGGUGGCCUCCUAGAGCCCCCUGCAAUGGUCACUCUUGGUUCCUAGUGUCUGUGACCCAGCAACCCUGACCUGCACCCUGAGAAGAGGCAACAGCACUGAUGAGGCUGAGCCUGGUGGUCUCCAGACUCCCAAGAGAAACCGUAAGAAACUGUAAGACCCCUUUCCCAGCAGUGACAGACAAGGCAAGCCUGCAGCACCUGCUGCCUUCAUAUCUGGGAAACGGUUAGUGGGUCCCUCAUAUAAAAACAAUGUUUUA